AACGAACGCUGGCGGCAGGCCUAAAACAUGCAGGUCGAACGGGUGUAGCAAUACAUCAGUGGCGCACGGGUGAGUAACGCGUGGGAACAUGCCCCUUAGUACGGGACAACGUCGGGAAACUGACGCUAAUACCGUAUAAUAUCUCCGGAUCAAAGAUUUAUCGCUGAGGGAGUGGCCCGCGUCUGAUUAGCUAGUUGGUGAGGUAAUGGCUCACCAAGGCUACGAUCAGUAGCAGGUCUGAGAGGAUGAUCUGCCACACUGGGACUGAGACACGGCCCAGACUCCUACGGGAGGCAGCAGUUAGGAAUAUUGGACAAUGGGCGAAAGCCUGAUCCAGCCAUGCCGCGUGUGUGAUGAAGGCCUUAGGGUUGUAAAGCUCUUUCGUUGGGGAUGAUAAUGACCGUACCCAAAGAAGAAGCACCGGCUAACUUCGUGCCAGCAGCCGCCGUAA
rnacentral:rRNA from 1 species